rnacentral:rRNA from 1 species
CAAUAGCGUAUAUUUAAGUUGCUGCAGUUAAAAAGCUCGUAGUUGGAUUUCGGGUGGGAAUGGCCGGUCCGCCGUUUCGGUGUGCACUUGCUACGCCCACCUUGCUGCCGGGGACGUGCUCUUGAGUUCACGCUCGGGACACGGAGUCGGCGAGGUUACUUUGAGUAAAUUAGAGUGUUCAAAGCAGGCCUACGCUCUGAAUACAUUAGCAUGGAAUAACACGAUAGGACUCUGGCCUAUCUUGUUGGUCUGUAGGACCGGAGUAAUGAUUAAGAGGGACAGUCGGGGGCAUUCGUAUUCCGAUGUCAGAGGUGAAAUUCUUGGAUUAUCGGAAGACGAACAUCUGCGAAAGCAUUUGCCAAGGAUGUUUUCAUUAA